rnacentral:rRNA from 1 species
GACGAACGCUGGCGGCGUGCUUAACACAUGCAAGUCGAACGAUGAAGCUAGAGCUUGCUCUGGUGGAUUAGUGGCGAGCGGGUGAGUAACACGUGAGUAACCUGCCCCGAACUCUGGGAUAACUGCUGGAAACGGUAGCUAAUACCGGAUAUGACCAAUGAAGGCAUCUACUGUUGGUGGAAAGAAUUUCGGUUCGGGAUGGACUCGCGGCCUAUCAGCUUGUUGGUGAGGUAACGGCUCACCAAGGCGACGACGGGUAGCCGGCCUGAGAGGGUGAUCGGCCACACUGGGACUGAGACACGGCCCAGACUCCUACGGGAGGCAGCAGUGGGGAAUAUUGCACAAUGGGCGCAAGCCUGAUGCAGCAACGCCGCGUGAGGGACGACGGCCUUCGGGUUGUAAACCUCUUUUAGUAGGGAAGAAGCGAAAGUGACGGUACCUGCAGAAAAAGCACCGGCUAACUACGUGCCAGCCGCCGCCGUAA